rnacentral:rRNA from 1 species
AUGGACAAUGGAUGCACUAAUCACAUGACUGACGAUCGAAGUCUUCUGAUGGAUUCAAUGCUGCGUCCAUCAGACAAAAGCCACAUCACAUUUGCUGACACUGGUAAAAGUAAGGUAUUGGGUCUAGGUAGAGUAGCAAUAUCAAGGGAUCAGCACAUGGAUAAAGUGAUGCUUGUUGAAUCCCUUGGUUUCAACUUAAUGUCUGUCUCAAUGCUUUGUGACUUAAACAUGAUUGUGCUAUUUGGAAAAUAUCGCUGCCUUAUACUGAUGGAAUCUAACAAGUCUCUAGUCUUUGAAGGAUAUCGAAAAGGUGAUCUGUAUAUGGUAGAUUUCUCAGCAGGUCCACAGAUGGCCGUAUGUCUUCUAGCAAAAGCUUCAGAAUGCUGGCUUUGGCAUCGAAGGCUAGGACAUGCUGGCAUGAGGAACUUGCACAUUCUCGUGAAGAAGAAGCAUGUUGUGGGCAUCGAAGGCGUCAAGUUCAAGAAGGAUCAUUUGUGUGGCACCUGCGAAGCCGGGAAGAUGACAAGAGCCAAGCAUCCCUCAAAGAUAAUCAUGACCACGUCUCAAUCCUUCGAGCUGCUGCACAUGGACUUAUUUGGCCCUACUCACUAUUCCACUCUCAAUGCUACUGCUUGCCUCUAUGGCUUCAUCAUUGUUGAUGAUUACUCUCGAUACACUUGGGUGCAUAUAAUCCUCUACAAGACUGAAGUGCAGGAUGUCUUCAGACGCUUUGCCAACCGUGCCAUGGCGAACUACGGUGUCAAGAUCAAGCACAUCAGAAGCGACAACGGCACUGAGUUCAAGAACACCGGCCUCGACCUCUACCUGGAUACCAUGGGUAUCACUCAUGAGUUCUCUGCUCCAUACACAUCUCAGCAGAAUGGCAUCGCCGAGCGCAAGAACAGAACUCUUAUUGAGAUGGCCCGAACGAUGCUUGAUGAGUACAAGACUCCACGGAAGUUCUGGCCCGAAGCCAUUGAUACUGCUUGUCACACCAUCAACCGCGUUUAUCUUCACAAGCUUCUGAAGAAAACAUCCUAUGAGCUCCUAACUGGUAAGAAACCCAAUGUAAGCUACUUCAGAGUAUUUGGUGCUAGGUGCUGGAUCAAGGAUCCUCAUCACACUUCAAAAGUUUGCACAGAAAGCACAUGA